GGCGAACGCUGGCGGCGUGCUUAACACAUGCAAGUCGAACGGAAAGGCCCUGCUUUUGUGGGGUGCUCGAGUGGCGAACGGGUGAGUAACACGUGAGUAACCUGCCCUUGACUUUGGGAUAACUUCAGGAAACUGGGGCUAAUACCGGAUAGGAGCUCCUGCUGCAUGGUGGGGGUUGGAAAGUUUCGGCGGUUGGGGAUGGACUCGCGGCUUAUCAGCUUGUUGGUGGGGUAGUGGCUUACCAAGGCUUUGACGGGUAGCCGGCCUGAGAGGGUGACCGGCCACAUUGGGACUGAGAUACGGCCCAGACUCCUACGGGAGGCAGCAGUGGGGAAUAUUGCACAAUGGGCGGAAGCCUGAUGCAGAAACGCCGCGUGCGGGAUGACGGCCUUCGGGUUGUAAACCGCUUUAGCCUGUGACGAAGCGUGAGUGACGGUAAUGGGUAAAGAAGCACCGGCUAACUACGUG
rnacentral:rRNA from 1 species